rnacentral:tRNA from 1 species
GCCAUUGUAGCAUAGUGGUUUGAGUGUUAACUAUGACUCUGGAGACCAGGGUUCAAUUCCCAGCUCAGCCA